AUAUUUAUAAACUUUAAAAUCAAACCGAUAGCCGCUCCCCCAGGGUGAGGCUUGACCAUUGCAUUUGGGUCUAGCUAACCCCUGCCACUACUCCAAACUGGGACAGAUGGGGAGUGUAAUUUGUGGUAGCUGGGGACUGCGUUCGUGCUCUCUCCUU